rnacentral:sRNA from 1 species
CGUACACACAAUGGCUCAAAUAUUUUAAUUCUUGUAGUGGCCAAUCAGUUUGAUUUUAAAACUGAAACCAGAGCGUACGGAAAAAAUGGAAAAAUUCCAAAGUGGUGUUUCUUAUCUGAUGCAACGUUUGGUGUGGCUUUUAAUGGCCUUAAUGAUCUUGUUCUUUGCCUUGGGGUCUUUUGAACCCUAUCACGACUGCGGUUGCGGCAAUGGAGGUCACAAAUUUGACUAACCUCAGAACGGUCUAUGGUGCAAUGAUAAAUUUAAUUGGAAUUAAUUAAAAUAAAUAUAAAAAUAAAUUUUUUUAUAUAUUUCUGGGUGUA